rnacentral:rRNA from 1 species
CACCGGCGGCCCGAGUGGUGGCCACUAUUAUUGGGUCUAAAGGGUCCGUAGCCGGUUUGAUCAGUCUUCCGGGAAAUCUGACAGCUCAACUGUUAGGCUUCCGGGGGAUACUGUCAGACUUGGGACCGGGAGAGGUAAGAGGUACUACAGGGGUAGGAGUGAAAUCUUGUAAUCCUUGUGGGACCACCAGUGGCGAAGGCGUCUUACCAGAACGGGUCCGACGGUGGGGGACGAAAGCGUGGGGGCGCGAACCGGAUUAGAUACCCGGGUAGUCCCAGCCGUAAACGAUGCUCGCUAGGUGUCUGGGAUGGUGCGACCGUUUCAGGUGCCGCAGGGAAGCCGUGAAGCGAGCCACCUGGGAAGUACGGCCGCAAGGCUGAAACUUAAAGGAAUUGGCGGGGGAGCACUACAACGGGUGGAGCCUGCGGUUU